UAUAACAUGAGAGUUUGAUCCUGGCUCAGGAUGAACGCUGGCGGCGUGCUUAACACAUGCAAGUCGAACGAAGCACCUGGUCACGAUCCCUUCGGGGUGACGACCUUGUGACUGAGUGGCGGACGGGUGAGUAACGCGUGGGAAACCUGCCAUGUACUG
rnacentral:rRNA from 1 species